rnacentral:rRNA from 1 species
GCGAACUCGUAAGAGGAUGUAUAGGGGGUGACACCUGACCAAUGCCAGAAGGUCAAACGCCGGCGGUGCCAUAGCAAUAUGCGUGCUGGACGGUGUAAGCCCUGGUGAAUGUCGGCCGUAACUAUAAACCUAGACCGUUGUAGUUACGUAAAUAAAUCUUGCUAUAUGCUGGAAACUCUGGGUCAUCUAAUAAAAUAGAUGGCAAAAAAGUAUUUGCUACUACUCACUUCAUGUCGAUGAAGAAGUAACAAUGUGGCAAUGCAGACAAUCAGCAGGAAAGGCUUCUGCUACAAAAAUAAUUUCUCAAUGGAAAAAUGGCUUAACAGUAUCAAUCCAAAAGAUGGAUACUAUAUCGCUGGUUUCACUGAUGGAGAGGGAAGCUUCAACGUUUCUCUCAAAAAAAGAAAUGAUUAUGUAGGAGAAUGGAAAAUUACAGCAUCGUUCAAUAUUUCUCAAAAAGAUAGAGUGAUACUCGCGUGGAUAAAAAAUAUCCUUGGUUGUGGAACUCUAAGAGAAAGACCUGAUGGAGUUGUCUACUAUGAAGUUACUAAUAUAACUUCAUUAAAAGAAAAAAUUAUUCCAUUCUUUAAAAAGUUUAAUUUCAUCUCUUCAAGAAAAAAGACAAACUUCUCAAUAUUUAAAGAUAUUGUAGAACAAAUGUUUAAUGGAGAACAUCUUAAUAAAGAAGGAUUCGAAAGAAUUAUUCAGUUAAGAGAAUCUCUAAAUGAAGGGAAGGGAAGAAAACGAAAGUACGUUUUAUCAGAUGUGAUAAAAGCAGAAGAAUCCCCAGAGACUACACGCAAGAUACUUCAAGACAACAAUGGAAAGUCGACUGUCGAAGAAGUGAAGAUAUAGUCCGAUCUCUAUGGCGACAUAGAGUUAACACAAAAAAAAGAAGAAAUAGAAUUUAUUUGGUAAAUAAACAAUUAAGUUGAUACACAUUCGCGCAACCUAUAGAAAACAAUGAACGGUCCUAAGGUAGCGAAAUUCCUUGUCUGGUAAGUUCAGACGCGCACGAAUGGUGUAAUGACUUGGGAACUGUCUCGAAGACCCGCUCGGUGAAAAUGCAAUGGAGGUGAAGAUGCCUCCUACCUGCAGUUAGACGAAAAGACCCCAGAAGCUUCACUGCAACUUGGUAUUGAGCGUAUGUAUUUACUGCGUAGCAUAGGUGGGAGAGGUUGAUAUCUAGAUUUCGGUUUAGGUGGACUCGUCAGUGAAAUACCACUCUGUGAAAGCAUACGUUCUAACCUCCGCGGCAAAAACGCGAAGGAACAGUAUCUGGUGGGCAGUUUUGGUGGGGCGCUAUCCUUCAGGAUGCAAUCAUCUUGUAUUUACUUUAUUGUAGAUUCAAGAAAUUGUAUCCUGAUCCGUGGCGCCCCCAGAAGACGUCAUUCUUCGAAAAAAACAAAAAGGGGGACUACAGUGAGAAAUCAUUGUAAGCAAAGUUGGUUAUAUCGGGAAAAACCUUAAUCGUGCCGAAAGCAAAGUUAAGACAAUUCCGAGGGACAAGUGAACAAAGCCGCCGAGCAUGCUCGGCAUAAGUGUUCCCUUACCCGUAGAGACUACAACCCAGCUAUCUAAAACAAUUUAUUGUAUAGAUAAUUAUAUAGUCCGAUCUGCAUGGUGACAUGUAGUUAACAUUUAUGCCCAAAAAGUAACGGAGGAGUUUAUUAAGGUCGGCUAGGCGCGAAUGGAAACCGUGCCGAUAGUGCAACGGCAUAAGCCGGCUUAACUGUGAGACGUCAAUGUCAAGCAGAUGCGAAAGCAGAACGUAGUGAACCGAUUGUACGCUUUAGACGCGGCAAAAGAUUAUCUGACAAAAGCUACUCUGGGGAUAACAGGCUAGUUCCGCCUAAGAGUCCAUAUCGACGGCGGAGUUCGGCACCUCGAUGUCGGCUCGACUUAUCCUGGGGCUGGAGAAGGUCCCAAGGGUUUAGCUGUUCGCUAAUUAAAAAGUCACGCGAGCUGGGUUCAGACCGUUCAGCUUCCAAUGCGAUUUUGUGUAGCAAUACAUAUUAUUAAAUUGGUUGCUGAACAGUCUGAAUCCACCGAGGACAUCAAAACUCUUAAAUGAGAAUGAAAACUGUUAACAUAAUUAAAUUAUAGAGAUACAACCUAUACACGGCGGUCAUAUAUAGUGAUAUAUAUGACACAGCUUACUUAUAUCGGGGAAGUCCGGUACAUACAGGAGUAUGUAUGGAUAACACCGAGGGAAUUCACAGUUUGUGAAGCCCGUAGAGACUAAACGUAAGCCAUCUCAAUCAUACGAAACUUUAUUGUGACGUAAGAAAAAGAUGAAGAUAUAGUCCAAUGCACUUAGUAAUAAGUGAAAAACAUGCGUGAGACAGGUUGGUCUCCUAUCUACUGCAGGCGUUGAUACUUGAGAAGAUUUGCCCUUAGUACGAGAGGACCGGGGUGAACUGACCUCUGGUGUACCUGUUGUCACGCCCGUGGCAUUGCAGGGUAGCUAUGUUGGGAAUGGAUAAGCUCUGAAAGCAUCUAAGAGCGAAGCCAGCUUCAAGAUUAGGUAUCGUUUGAGAUCCGUGAGAGAUGAUCACGUUGAUAGGCACUAAGUGUAAGCGUAGUAAUACGUUAAGCUGAGGUGUACUAAUGCAUCGAUUCUAUUAGGAAA